UAGGUUGUAGUUCAGUUGGGAGAAUGCUUGCCUAACAUUCAAGAAAACCUGGGUUUGAUNCCCAGUAUCGCAU
rnacentral:tRNA from 1 species